rnacentral:sRNA from 1 species
GGUUUUCCAACUGCUCUCAAGGAGACUUUAGUACAGCUGGGAACACAGAUAUGUCCUUAUUUAAAAGUGUAUUGAAAGUCAACGUGGCAAGUUUCAGAUCAGUCGAAGCUGGAGACUGGAGGUCGUUGGAGUGCUGUUGGAGGAAGUACUGUUGGAGGUUGGAGCAAGGAGAGCAGCUGUUAACAGGAAGGAACUUCUUAGAAGAGCCAGUCUCGAAGAUAUGGUGUAGACAAAGCCUGAAGCUGCACUCUUACUACAUUUGCAAGUUGAUGUCCAGUGUUCGGUGUUCUAUUUGUGGCUACACAAAUUGAGAAAUGUGAAAAACAGCAUAUAUCAUUACAGACUAUAUGGGCAUCCGAAAUGAAAGUUUCAUGAAAUUAGCUGCAGUAGGGACCUGGAUGGGGGACUUUGUCACAGCUUGGAUGGUCACUGAUAUGAUGCUUCAGGACAAACCCUAUCCUGACUGGGGAAAAUCAGCAAGAGCUUUCUGGAAGAAAGGAAAUGUUAGGAUCACUUUAUUCUGGACAGUUCUUUUUACUCUGACGUCUGUGGUUGUACUUGUGAUUACAACGGACUGGAUCAGCUGGGACAAGCUGAAUCGGGGAUUUUUGCCCAGUGAUGAAGUUUCCAGAGCAUUCCUUGCUUCUUUUAUCUUGGUCUUUGACCUUCUUAUUGUGAUGCAGGACUGGGAAUUCCCACAUUUCAUGGGAGAUGUUGAUGUAAAUCUCCCUGGUUUGCACACCCCUCACAUGCAGUUCAAGAUUCCUUUCUUCCAGAAAAUCUUCAAGGAGGAAUAUCGUAUUCACAUAACAG